GAUUCUACUCCGCACACAUACGUAAAACUUCAUAGCUUUCGCACGAUCUGACUGGACAAAGUAUCAUAUUCAAGCAUCAUACAAAUCAAGGAGUGCUGCUAAAGAAUACAAUAUUAUACUAUUAAUUAUUUCACCAUAACUACUGGAAAAGGAAGUAAGAUUAGACGUGAAGAAGUUUUAAUAAAAGUCAUUGAUAAUCAAACAGUAGAAAAGUUGAGUUGAUUAAUCACCAUUAUCGUCGAUUCGAGCUGAUUCAACACAAGAUUCAAUCAAUAUAGAUGAAGAUCAAAAUUCCCGAUUGAAUGAAACGCCUUGGCUUGUUAGUAUCAGAAUCAAUGGUGUUCAUUAUUGCAGUGGAGCGAUAGUUAGUAAUAGUUGGGUUAUCACAUCAUCCCAAUGUAUUUUUAAUAUCCAAGAAAUGAUACCAAUGGUUACAAUACAAACUUGUGACCUGAAUCUUUAUACACUGACUGAGACUUCUGUACACAGUCUGCCCAACUUAAUGAAUAGUGUGUGGCCAAAAUCAGGAAUUGCAAUGAUAAAAAUAUUUGGCACUUUUCGUUCUGACAGAUCUUGUUCCAUAAAACAUUUACAAAUAGGUGGUUCGUAUGCAAUAUCAUCUGGUGAAGAAUUUUCUAUUGCUAGUUGGGAACAAAAUGUUGUUGGAAAUAAAAUUAGGUCAAAUUCAAAAACUA